AAUUCUAUUUCUAUAUGCACCCAAUAGCAGAGCUACAAAACAUAUCAAACACAAAUAAGAGAGUGAUUCAGUAAAAUUUAACUAGUGGAAUUUAUUGACUUAAGAAGUUAAGAUACAAAUUUACAACCAUAGUGGCAGGCAUUAAUCACUGUAGAAACAUAUUGAAAUAUGUUUCAGUAGAAACAUAAAAGGAAUAUGACCAACAUCUAUAGAACACAUUACCCACAAACAUCAGACUACAUAUUCUUUUCAAAUGCACAUGGAUUGUUUAUCCAAAUUCACUAUAUUCUGGUUUAAAGCAAGCCUCAAUUAAUUUCAAAGGCUUUAAAUCAUUCAGAAUAUAAUCUCUGAUCAAAAUAGCAUUCAGUGAGAUUUCAAUAUCAAAAGGAUAAUUAAACUUCAUUCCGGUACCUUGCUAGAUACAAAUGGUAUUUUUCAAAGAUAUUACCGCAGAAAAAACAUAAAGGCGAUCCAAGACCUGGGGUGAGGUAUAUGUUCCAGUCUCUGAGCAGAGCAGUGUAACAUCCGACUUAUGAACUGUAUUUCCUGUCUGGGACAGAAACUUCAAAUAGCCCAGCUACUCUACACUCAGGCAUCAGAGAAGGGUUGGUGUCUGGACUGGAGUGAGAACAGAAGAAAUUUCAACCAAGGGAAGAACUUUGAUCAUGCUCUGCCCUGGCCUGCUGUGGACAUUCAUAGCUUCCUUUGCCUUCAGAUCCAGCAUGGCUGACAGAGUAACCCAAGCUCAGGCUACAAUAACAGCGCAAGAAGGAGAAGCUGUGACCCUGCCCUGCACAUAUGAAACCAGUUCGAAUGUCUAUUAUUUGUACUGGUACAAGCAGCCUGCCAGUGGAGAGAUGGUUCUGCUUAUUACACAGCAUUCUAGUUAUUCAAAUGCAAAGCAGGGUGGCUACUCUGUCAACUUUCAAAAGGCAAAAAAGUCUAUCAGCCUCACCAUCUCCUCCUUGCAACCGGAAGACUCAGCGAAGUACUUCUGUGCUCUUUUAGAACACGAAUAUUGGUGGGCCUUCACUUCAGCAAAACAGCUCACCUUUGGAAGUGGGACCCAACUUACCGUGGAACCAAAAAGGCAGCCUCCUGCCAAACCAUCCGUUUUCAUCAUGAAAAAUGGGACGAAUGUUGCUUGUCUGGUGAAGGAUUUCUACCCCAAGGAUGUAAAUAUAAAUAUCAACUCAUCCAAGAAAAUAAUAGAAUUUGACCCAGCUGUUGUCGUGUCUCCCAGUGGGAAGUACAAUGCUGUCAAGCUCGGUCGGUAUGAAGAUCCAAACUCAGUGACAUGCUCAGUUCAACAUAACGAUGAAAUUUUGCACUCCACUGACUUUGAACCGAAGACAAAUUCUUCAAGUAAACUAAAGCCGAAGGAGCCUGAAAGCACAAAGCAAACUUCAGGGAUCUGCCGUGAACCCAAAGUUCAUGCCGAAAAGGUGAACAUGCUGUCUCUCACAGUGCUGGGGCUCCGGAUGCUGUUUGCCAAGAGUGUGGCCAUAAAUUUUCUUUUGACUGCCAAGUUAUUUUUCUUUUAAGGCCAUCUAGCAGGAGAACGCUACACUCCCUGAAAGAAAUCAAGAGCCCACAGAGGUGCUACCUGCUAGGCUUCUGACUUUUCGGCAAUUCAAUUUAACCUGUGCCACCUUUACUUAAAUGGCUGCUACCCAAACCAGUUUUCCUUUGAAAGCAACUAUCACAGAUCACCCUUCAGCCUGGUGAAAAGACAAAAGUCCCAGGAGUGGGGGUUAUGGUCUUAACUGCUUUAUAUGCUGCUUUAUAAAAGGAUAUAGGACUCAUUUUUUAUUUCAACAACUGAUGGACUUUGAAAAUGAUAUUUUGUUCCUUUGACUUUCUUUGCCUCCAGAAGAAGAAAGUGGGAGCCAAGAGAAACCCAGCUCCGUUUUCCAAGAGGAAAAUCUGCCCUCGGGGGAGGAGAGCAGGUGCCCUUUACCUAAACAUGGAAGGCUCUGCUCAACCCAGCACUAGAUUUGACCCAAACUGGCAUUCUCACCCAGUUUCUGCUUUUCCUAAUACUUUACAAACAAAAUUACAUUUGACUUCCCGGAUACUCUCUGUGCAGGCAGCAGGGUUUCUACAGUUUCCUCUAAAUACUCCCCAAGCUAUUCACAGAGAUCAGAGUAAAAUACAGAGGAAAUGCACUUUUUUAUUAAUUGACUUAACAAACACAAAUCAACUCCUUUUAAGCUUCAGGCUGUGCACUGAAGGUGUAAAUGUGCAUGAGACAUGGGCUUGUUCUCAAGUAGCCCACCAUACCAGGGGUUUGGGAGGGAGGGAGAGGAAUGAGCCCCUGAAGUUGCUCUGUAAAAACAGCUUCUUUACUGUCUUUUGCCUGCAAUCUGUGCACGGGGAGUUUGAGGUCACUGAACCCUGACUCUUGCCUGGCCCUUGGUGUUGAUGGUUUCCUGCCAUUCCCUGAAAUGGGCUCUGUUGCAUUUCUUAAAGUGCAUUGUGUGUCACUUGCCUCUGGUUUGACUCAUAGUGGACCACCGCAGGGGGAGAGUAGGGGCCGUGAACUGUUAGGCAAAAGCCACACUGAGCUUGUAGGUCACACCGCAGCUUCCUGUGCCCCAAGCCUGCAGGUUCCUGCCUUAGGGACCCAGCCCCAGGUUUCCUGCUGCUGCUAUUACAGCAAGACAACAGCAGUGCCCCUGGCGGAGCUGCAUCCCCAGUGCUGCUGCAUUGCUGGCGUGGCUGUGUUCCCAGAGUGGAGACGUCACCUGUGUGGCUGAAACGCUCCGUCACUCCCACCCCAGCAAGGCCACGGUGUUUUCCAGACGCACCCACUCAGGUAACAGAGCCCUGGAACUUGGUGUGGUUUCCUCUGUGCCUACGUGCGCAGUCAAGGGGCCUCAUGAGGUUGCAGGUGGAAAAGCAACACUUCCCAGCAACUGCCUCUGCCACUGCCAUCUGCAGGGCUCACCCUGUGACUUCGCAGCUCCUUUCUUCGCAAAGGAAGGCGUCAGCAGCACUCUGAGUCAAUGGGUUUAGGACAAUCUAGACGGAUAAGGCACGUCCAUCCAGCCUCCCCACAACUUCACCUUUUACGUGUAAAGAAGGCCUUUUCCAAAACGUUCACAUACCUUACCUUGGGUAAAAUGAGGAUGUUCUUGAGAAGUGGCUAAGAACAAACAGAUCACAUUUUCAUUUUCCAGAUGGAAUAAUAUACAUCCCCCCAAAAAAGUUACAUACCUUGUCCAAAGUGACUCAGUGAGGUGGGGACAUUGCUGUGAGCAGAGCCAAGUAAUCAAGAAUGCCAGCAGAGGACACAUUAGGGCCCUGCUAAAGGCCAGGCUGGAACAAGAAGUCACCAGGAAGAAGGACCCCAUGUUCAAAGACAUGAGCAGCCCUGAGAGGUAGCUGUCCCAGGCUGUGCCCUGGGACACAGGGAUUUUUGUGCAGACUUCCU